GAUGAACGCUGGCGGCGUGCCUAAUACAUGCAAGUCGAGCGAACAGACGAGGAGCUUGCUCCUUUGACGUUAGCGGCGGACGGGUGAGUAACACGUGGAUAACCUACCUAUAAGACUGGGAUAACUUCGGGAAACCGGAUCUAAUACCGGAUAAUAUAUUGAACCGCAUGGUUCAAUAGUGAAAGACGGUUUUGCUGUCACUUAUAGAUGGUUCCGCGCCGCAUUAGCUAGUUGGUAAGGUAACGGCUUACCAAGGCAACGAUGCGUAGCCGACCUGAGAGGGUGAUCGGCCACACUGGAACUGAGACACGGUCCAGACUCCUACGGGAGGCAGCAGUAGGGAAUCUUCCGCAAUGGGCGAAAGCCUGACGGAGCAACGCCGCGUGAGUGAUGAAGGUCUUCGGAUCGUAAAACUCUGUUAUUAGGGAAGAACAGAUGUGUAAGUAACUAUGCACGUCUUGACGGUACCUAAUCAGAAAGCAACGGCUAACUACGUG
rnacentral:rRNA from 1 species